ACGAAGCUGCUUAACUGAUCUUCUUCGGAAUUGACGUUUUGUAGACUGAGUGGCGGACGGGUGAGUAACGCGUGGGUAACCUACCCUGUACAGGGGGAUAACAGUCAGAAAUGACUGCUAAUACCGCAUAAGACCACAGCACCGCAUGGUGCAGGGGUAAAAACUCCGGUGGUACAGGAUGGACCCGCGUCUGAUUAGCUGGUUGGUGAGGUAACGGCUCACCAAGGCGACGAUCAGUAGCCGGCUUGAGAGAGUGAACGGCCACAUUGGGACUGAGACACGGCCCAAACUCCUACGGGAGGCAGCAGUGGGGAAUAUUGCACAAUGGGGGAAACCCUGAUGCAGCGACGCCGCGUGAGUGAAGAAGUAUCUCGGUAUGUAAAGCUCUAUCAGCAGGGAAGAAAAUGACGGUACCUGACUAAGAAGCCCCGGCUAACUACGUGCCAGCAGCCGCGGUAAUACGUAGGGGGCAAGCGUUAUCCGGAAUUACUGGGUGUAAAGGGUGCGUAGGUGGUAUGGCAAGUCAGAAGUGAAAACCCAGGGCUUAACUCUGGGACUGCUUUUGAAACUGUCAGACUAGAGUGCAGGAGAGGUAAGCGGAAUUCCUAGUGUAGCGGUGAAAUGCGUAGAUAUUAGGAGGAACAUCAGUGGCGAA
rnacentral:rRNA from 1 species